UCCGAUUUGUGAGCACAAAUUAUUGUUCUCUAUAACAAUAUUUAUGGUUGCCUAAUUUUAACAAUUCAAAUUUUGAAUUGCUCAAGUACCUGCCAAAUGAUCUUAUCGUAUACACUAUUUCCGGAUGCGUAUAAGUCAGAUCAUACAUAAGUUUCUCAAUGCUAAAGCAUAUGGGAAAAUACUUUAUUUUCUAAAUUUCCAGAUUUUCUUUUGGACAAUGAUUGAGACUAGACAGUCUCCCUUUAUGAUUAAGACAAUUCCUUAUUUGACUUUCAUGUCGAAUUUACUUUCAACUUUAUUGAUACGACUCUUUUGUUAUACCCAAAUGAUACAUUGAGAAUAAUUUCUAAGUAUCGAAAUGCCUAAUACAAAACAGAUGUGCCCAAGAUCUUUUGUCACUAAACUUUUGUUAGUGAUUUCUUG
rnacentral:lncRNA from 1 species